rnacentral:tRNA from 1 species
CAAAGUGUAGUUUAUUGUUAGAAUACUAGCUUUGGGAGUUAGCGGAAAGGGUUAAAAUCCCUUCUCUUUGA